rnacentral:rRNA from 1 species
CCUACGGGGUGCAGCAGUGGGGCAUAUUGCGCAAUGGGCGAAAGCCUGACGCAGCGACGCCGCGUGAGGGAUGAAGGUUUUCGGAUCGUAAACCUCUGUCAGCAGGGAAGAACGGUGCCUGUGCUAAUCAGCAGUGAAUUGACGGUACCUGCAAAGGAAGCACCGGCUAACGCCGUGCAAGCAGCCUCGGUAAUACGGAGGGUGCGUGCGUUAAUCGGAAUUACUGGGCGUAAAGCGUUCGUAGGCGGUAUGUCAAGUCAAGGGUGAAAUCCCCGCGCUCAACGUGGGAACUGCCUGUGAUACUGGCAAACUGGAGUGUGUGAGAGGAUAGUGGAAUGCCAGGUGUAGGAGUGAAAUCCGUAGAUAUCUGGAGGAACAUCAGUGGCGAAGGCGACUAUCUGGGACAUAUCUGACGCUGAGGAGCGAAAGCGUGGGUAGCAAACAGGAUUAGAUACCCUGGUAGUC